rnacentral:rRNA from 1 species
AUACGGAGGGUGCGAGCGUUAAUCGGAAUUACUGGGCGUAAAGCGCGCGUAGGCGGUUGGAUAAGUCGGAUGUGAAAGCCCCGGGCUCAACCUGGGAAUUGCAUUCGAAACUGUCCGGCUAGAGUAUGGUAGAGGGAAGCGGAAUUCCACAUGUAGCGGUGAAAUGCGUAGAUAUGUGGAGGAACACCAGUGGCGAAGGCGGCUUCCUGGACCAAUACUGACGCUGAGGUGCGAAAGCGUGGGGAGCAAACAGGAUUAGAAACCCUAGUAGUCC